CUAAGCUGCACGGCACUUUAUCGGUAACCCCCCCUUAUAAAUCCGAGAAAUACAGUUCCUUUUUCACAAAUGUUCAAUCGAAUUCGAUUGCCAACGCGAACCCGAACGAGAUCACUCGGCCCGGGUGUCAGACUGCCAUUUCCAUGGCUGCCCCAGCUGGAAAAGAAAGGAAGAAACAUCUUGGGAGAAUCGAUGGUGGAGCCCGCACGUGGCGGGUUGGCAGUGGAGACAGGCUGAAGCGGCGUGUGGGAUUUGAGCAGAUAUUAGCGAGUAUUAUACAUCCAUUUAGAGUGUAUAUAUUCUUAUUUGGAAGCAUUUUGAUUGAUUUUUACUUAAAUAAAUGAAUAAUACUCAUUGAAUA